rnacentral:rRNA from 1 species
AGUUUGAUCAUGGCUCAGGAUGAACGCUAGCGGCAGGCUUAAUACAUGCAAGUCGAGGGGCAGCAUGGUGUAGCAAUACACUGAUGGCGACCGGCAAACGGGUGCGGAACACGUACAGAACCUUCCUUCGAGCGGGGAAUAGCCCAGAGAAAUUUGGAUUAAUACCCCAUAGUAUUAUGGAGUGGCAUCACUUUGUAAUUAAAGAUUUAUCACUUGAAGAUGGCUGUGCGGCUGAUUAGGUAGUUGGCGGGGUAACGGCCCACCAAGCCUGCGAUCAGUAACUGGUGUGAGAGCACGACCAGUCACACGGGCACUGAGACACGGGCCCGACUCCUACGGGAGGCAGCAGUAAGGAAUAUUGGUCAAUGGACGAAAGUCUGAACUAGCCAUGCCGCGUGGAGGAUGAAGGUCCUCUGGAUUGUAAACUUCUUUUAUAUGGGACGAAAAAGGCCUUUCUAGGUCGUCUGACGGUACCAUAUGAAUAAGCACCGGCUAACUCCGUG